CCCAGUUCGUGAGGAGAGUCAGGAGCUGAGCUGAACAGGGAGCGUGGCGGGGUGGGCAGGCGCCCUCCCUGAGCGUUAGCACUGAAGCCGAGGAGGGGACGCUUGGUGGGAAAGUCUUCUAGGCAGAAGAGAGAGCAUAUCUCAGGAGAGAACUCAGAGUCUCAAAGAGCAAGGGGCAGAAGCUCCCAUAAUCUGCACGGCAGGAGGAAAGGAAGCAUAUUGCCCUUGGGAUUCACCACCUAACUUCAAACGAGCAAGAACGCACCACUGAGACUGAGACACCCCAGACAUGUUAAUAGCCCAUCACGUGCCAAGGGAGUGGAGAUGGAGAAAAGGAAUGAGCUGAAGACGUGUUUGAAGGUGCUGACGGCAGCAAUGAGUGAUGGCAGCCAACUUCCUCCUAACGCCUCGCCUUCCCAAAUCAGCCGAGGCUUGGGUUUCCAGACCACCUAAGGACCAAAGCGCCGGCACCUGGCCGGCGAUGUGGUGGUGUGGAGAGGUGCUGGGUGUGGGGUGUGGGUUCCACUCUCCAAGUCUCAGCUAGGCACACUCUUGCCAUCAGAUGUGGGACUCGUCAUUAUCUCCUGGGACGAUUCAUUGCCAGCACGGAGAGACAGCGGUGAACUGGGGAGAGUGAGUCAUGCAGAAAGAGAGCUUUGUCACUCGUCACCACCACCUGGAGAAGAAGGCUGUGCACUGGGGAAAGACAUCAGUCUGAACCAGCUUCCCUCCUAGGCCCACUGUACCUCCAUUAGUAUGUUUUUGUGUGAUUGUAAAGUGAUUAUGCCCAUAAGAUUAAAUAAACUCCCCUCAAG